GCCCCUUUAGCUCAGUGGUAGAGCGUUGCACUUGUAGUCUUCUUCGGAAGCCUGUAAUGCAAAGGUCAUUCGUUCAAUCCGGGUAGGGGGCA